rnacentral:rRNA from 1 species
GUCGGUAAAACUCGUGCCAGCCACCGCGGUUAUACGAGAGGCCCAAGUCGAUAGCUACCGGCGUAAAGCGUGGUUAAGGAUUAAAAUUUUUACUAAAGUCGAACUCCUUCAAGACCGUUUAACGUGUUCGAACAGGAGAAGCUCAUCAACGAAAGUGACUUUAACUUAAACCUGACCCCACGAAAGCUAAGACACAAACUGGGAUUAGAUACCCCACUA